GACGAACGCUGGCGGCGUGCUUAAAAACAUGCAAGUCGAACGGACUUCUCAUGAAGCUUGCGAUUGAGAAGUUAGUGGCGGACGGGUGAGUAACGCGUGGGCAACCUGCCCCUGAGCCCGGGAUAACAGUUCGAAAGGACUGCUAAGACCGGAUAUACUUGCGGGGAAGCAUUUCACUGCAAGGAAAGGGAACGCUCAGGGAUGGGCCCGCGCCCCAUUAGCUAGUUGGUGAGGUAACGGCCCACCAAGGCGACGAUGGGUAGCCGGCCUGAGAGGGUGAACGGCCACACUGGGACUGAGACACGGCCCAGACUCCUACGGGAGGCAGCAGUUGGGAAUCUUCGGCAAUGGGCGCAAGCCUGACCGAGCAACGCCGCGUGAGUGAUGAAGGUUUUCGGAUUGUAAAGCUCUGUCUUCCGGGACGAUAAUGACGGUACCGGAGGAGGAAGCCACGGCUAACUACGUG
rnacentral:rRNA from 1 species